rnacentral:rRNA from 1 species
AGCAGCCGCGGUAAUUCCAGCUCCAAUAGCGUAUAUUAAAGUUGUUGCAGUUAAAAAGCUCGUAGUUGAACUUCAGGCCUGGCUGGAUGGUCCGCCUUCUGGGUGAGUACUGUCUGUGGUCGGGUCCUACCUUCUGGCGAAGCGUCAUGGCCUUCACCGGCCGUGGCGGGGAGCCAGGACUUUUACUGUGAAAAAAUUAGAGUGUUCAAAGCAGGCACGCGCUUGAAUACAUUAGCAUGGAAUAAUGGAAUAGGACAGUGGUUCUAUUUGUUGGUUUCUAGGACCGUUGUAAUGAUUAAUAGGGAUAGUUGGGGGCAUUAGUAUUCAAUUGUCAGAGGUGAAAUUCUUGGAUUUAUUGAAGACUAACUACUGCGAAAGCAUUUGCCAAGGAUGUUUUCAUUAAUCAAGAACGAAAGUUAGGGGAUCGAAGACGAUCAGAUACCGUCGUAGUCUUAACCAUAAACUAUGCCGACUAGGAAUCGGGCGAUGUUGACAAAUGACGCGCUCGG